CCCUACUGAGAACCAGGCAGAGAGGGAACCCAGAAAGUCCAGACGGGUUGCUGAUUAGCACACGGUGAGUGAAGAAAGACACACUAGCCCAGUGGUUCUCAGCCUUCUUGGUGCUCCUCAUUUUGCGAUUCAGAUCCUGUACACGUGUCCCAGGCUACCAGACUCCCUCCCUUCCCCUGCCAACCAGGAACCAGCCUGACUACAAUUACUUACUAUGGAAUGCCCAUCAGUCACAUGGUAUAGAGCCAGCUCCCUCCUCUGAAAUGUAUAAGAAGGGACAUUAUUGUGCCACAUGGGCCUACACUCCCUUCAGGGUACCCACAGUUGUCUUUCAGUCAAUCAAAAUUGUCAACUCGAUUAAUAAAUCUUU
rnacentral:lncRNA from 1 species